rnacentral:rRNA from 1 species
AACGUAGGACGCGAGCGUUAUCCGGAGUUACUGGGCGUAAAGCGCGGGCAGGCGGUCUGACAAGUCUGAUGUGAAAUCUCCGGGCUUAACCGGGAGAGGCCAUUGGAAACUGACAGGCUGGAGGGCAGUAGAGGUAGGCGGAAUUCCGGGUGGAGUGGUGAAAUGCGUAGAGAUCCGGAGGAACACCAGAGGCGAAAGCGGCAUCCUGGGCCGGGCCUGACGCUGAGGCGUGAAAGCGUGGGGAGCGAACCGG